GUUGUUGUAGUAUAGUGGUAAGUAUUCCCGCCUGUCACCCGGGUGACCCGGGUUCGAUACCCGGCAACGGCG
rfam:Brassica napus, WGS project CCCW01000000 data, contig: 3058